UUCCUACGGGAGGCAGCAGUAGGGAAUCUUCCGCAAUGGACGAAAGUCUGACGGGAGCAACGCCGCGUGAGUGAUGAAGGCUUUCGGGUCGUAAAACUCUGUUGUUAGGGAAGAACAAGUACGAGAGUAACUGCUCGUACCUUGACGGUACCUAACCAGAAAGCCACGGCUAACUACGUGCCAGCAGCCGCGGUAAUACGUAGGUGGCAAGCGUUAUCCGGAAUUAUUGGGCGUAAAGCGCGCGCAGGCGGUUUCUUAAGUCUGAUGUGAAAGCCCACGGCUCAACCGUGGAGGGUCAUUGGAAACUGGGGAACUUGAGUGCAGAAGAGAAAAGCGGAAUUCCACGUGUAGCGGUGAAAUGCGUAGAGAUGUGGAGGAACACCAGUGGCGAAGGCGGCUUUUUGGUCUGUAACUGACGCUGAGGCGCGAAAGCGUGGGGAGCAAACAGGAUUAGAUACCCUGGUAGUCC
rnacentral:rRNA from 1 species